rnacentral:rRNA from 1 species
AUUGAACGCUGGCGGCAGGCCUAACACAUGCAAGUCGAGCGGAUGAAGGGAGCUUGCUCCUGGAUUCAGCGGCGGACGGGUGAGUAAUGCCUAGGAAUCUGCCUGGUAGUGGGGGAUAACGUCCGGAAACGGGCGCUAAUACCGCAUACGUCCUGAGGGAGAAAGUGGGGGAUCUUCGGACCUCACGCUAUCAGAUGAGCCUAGGUCGGAUUAGCUAGUUGGUGGGGUAAAGGCCUACCAAGGCGACGAUCCGUAACUGGUCUGAGAGGAUGAUCAGUCACACUGGAACUGAGACACGGUCCAGCCUCCUAGGGGAGGCAGCAGUGGGGAAUAUUGGACAAUGGGCGAAAGCCUGAUCCAGCCAUGCCGCGUGUGUGAAGAAGGUCUUCGGAUGGUAAAGCACUUUAAGUGGGGAGAAAGGGCAGUAAGUUAAUACCUUGCUGUUUGAACGUAACCAACAGAAUAGCACCGGCUAACUUCGUG